rnacentral:rRNA from 1 species
UACGUAGGAGGCAAGCGUUGUCCGGAAUUACUGGGCGUAAAGCGCGCGUAGGCGGACCUGCAAGUCGGGGGUGAAAGCCCGAGGCUCAACCUCGGAACUGCCUUCGAUACUGCGGGUCUCGAGUCCGGGAGAGGUGAGUGGAAUUCCUAGUGUAGAGGUGAAAUUCGUAGAUAUUAGGAAGAACACCAGUGGCGAAGGCGGCUCACUGGCCCGGUACUGACGCUGAGGCGCGAAAGCGUGGGGAGCAAACAGG